rnacentral:rRNA from 1 species
UUCCAGACUCCUACGGGAGGCAGCAGUGGGGAAUAUUGCACAAUGGGGGAAACCCUGAUGCAGCAACGCCGCGUGAUCGAAUGAAGGCCUUCGGGUUGUAAAGAUCUGUUGACAGGGACGAAUAAGCAAUGCGAAUAGUUUUGUGUAUGACGGUACCUGUUUAGAAAGCUCCGGCUAACUACGUGCCAGCAGCCGCGGUAAUACGUAGGGAGCAAGCGUUGUCCGGAAUUACUGGGCGUAAAGGGCGCGUAGGUGGGCGCUUAAGUCAGGUGUGAAAACUCCGGGCUCAACCUGGAGACUGCACUUGAAACUGGGUGUCUUGAGGGCAGGAGAGGAAAGUGGAAUUCCUAGUGUAGCGGUGAAAUGCGUAGAUAUUAGGAGGAACACCGGCGGCGAAGGCGGCCUGCUGGACCGCGACUGACGUUGAGGCUCGAAAGCGUGGGGAGCGGACAGGAUUAGAUACCCCAGUAC